GACGAACGCUGGCGGCGUGCUUAACACAUGCAAGUCGAACGGAAGGCCUCUUUCGGGGGGUACUCGAGUGGCGAACGGGUGAGUAACACGUGAGUAACCUGCCCUUGACUUUGGGAUAACUUCAGGAAACUGGGGCUAAUACCGGAUAGGAGCUCCUGCUGCAUGGUGGGGGUUGGAAAGUUUCGGCGGUUGGGGAUGGACUCGCGGCUUAUCAGCUUGUUGGUGGGGUAGUGGCUUACCAAGGCUUUGACGGGUAGCCGGCCUGAGAGGGUGACCGGCCACAUUGGGACUGAGAUACGGCCCAGACUCCUACGGGAGGCAGCAGUGGGGAAUAUUGCACAAUGGGUGGAAGCCUGAUGCAGCAACGCCGUGUGCGGGAUGACGGCCUUCGGGUUGUAAACCGCUUUCGCUCAUGACGAAGCUUUGUGUGACGGUAGUGGGUAAAGAAGCACCGGCUAACUACGUG
rnacentral:rRNA from 1 species